UGAAUGUAAAAAAUAAAUAAUGUAUUUCAUAAUCAAGACAUACUCCAUAUGGCACACUAUAAGGAGUAUAUUGACAACAAGAUGUCUGUAUCGUGUACAGAUCAUAAGGUCUUACAGGAGGCAUAUAUACAGUAGGUCUAAAAAGGGCAUAAAAUGGCCACUUUCAUCAGGAUUUUCUCAAACAUCAUACGGAGAGAGUAGAUGUACUGUUCUGAUAAGGUAGUUAGACCUAGUUUGUAACCUGGUCCCAGAUCUGUUAGAGCCAGCUCCUGUGGCUGUUGUUAUGUCAAACAAACACGUGGUCGUAACAACGGCCAAAAGAGUUGGCUAUAAACAAGUACAAACAGAUCUGGGAUCAGGCACGUGUGUUAGAGUUGCAUUGUUUUCAUGCUCUUGUUCCCUGUCCCUACAGCCCUGCUGGUCGGCUUCAUCCUCACCAUGGCCAACAUGAGUUUCUUCUCCGCCCUGCUGGCUUUCUUCAUCACCUCCUCCAAGCUGACACGCUGGAAAGAAGAGGUCAAGAAGAAGCUAGACUCUGACUAUAAAGAAGGUGGUCAGAGGAACUGGAUACAGGUGUUCUGUAACGGUGUGUCCCCACAGAGCUGGCCCUGCUAUAAUAGAUCAGGGUCAAUCAAUCAAUUCAUUAUAUAUUUGAAUACAUAUAACAGCUGCCUCAGCCAAGUGAGCCAACCUUACAUCUAUCACUCAUCUGAGGUUAUUUCCAUUGUGUGGUCCUGGUUCUAAUCAGGUGGGUCCAGGGGAGAUGCCGGUGGACUUUGGGAAGCAGUACUCAGCCUCCUGGAUGUGUCUGUCUCUGCUGGGGCCUUGGCUUGCUCUACGGGGGACACCUGGGCAUAGAGGUGGGGCCCGUCCUCAGUCAGACCAAACCCCGCCUCAUCACCUCCUGGAGAGAGGUCCCUACAGGUACACACUCACCUGGGCAUCAGAGGAUAAUGAGCCAAAACACACUUCCAGGCUGUGUAAGGGCU